GGCACAAGAAGGAGAUCUAAAAGAAGUCUCAGUGUCAUAUGGGUUAGAUGAAGGAAAAAAUGAACAUAUUGAAGUCUUGAAUCAAGGUGAAGAUGAUCCACAUAGACUUACAAUGUCAUAUAAGCCAGAACAAGAAGAUGAUCCCAAUAAAGCUACAAUGACAUAUAGGUCAGAACAAGAAGAAGAUCCACAUAAAGUCACAAUGUCAUAUAGGUCAGAACAAGAAGAUGAUCCCAAUAAAGUUACAAUGUCAUAUAGGUCAGAACAAGAGGAAGAUCCACAUAAAGUCACAAUGUCAUAUGGGUCGGAACAAGAAGAUGAUCCCAAUAAAGUUACAAUGACAUAUAGGUCAGAACAAGAAGAAGAUCCACCUAAAGUUACAAUGUCAUAUGGGUCGAAACAAGAAGAUGAUCCCAAUAAAGCUACGAUGACAUAUAGGUCAGAACAAGAAGAAGAAGAUCCACAUAAAGUUACAAUGUCAUACCGGUCAAACCAUGAAGAGUAUACAAAUAAACUUACAAUGACAUAUGGGUCAAAAGAUGAAGUGGAUCCAGACAAAGCUAC
rnacentral:lncRNA from 1 species